CAAUGAGUGUUUUAUGGCACUCUUUAAAAAUCCAUAUCCACCUUGUGUGCAAUGUUUGUUGGGAGAGAGGCAACUCUUUCCCUUCACAAAUAUCAACCUAUAUCUUUAACAACAUUCGUCUGAUAACAUAUUAUGAAUAUAUCAUAACAAAACA
rnacentral:misc_RNA from 1 species